rnacentral:rRNA from 1 species
AUGAGUUGUUUUCUGCUUCCCAUUAGCGUCCGGGAAAAGAUAAGAAGAUCAAUUGCAAACUUCUGGUGGGGCAUAGAAGAUGGCAGAAGGAAACUACAUUGGAGAUCAUGGAAAUGGUUGUCCUCACCAAAGUUCCUAGGAGGCAUGGGAUUCAGGGUCAUCUCAAUUUUCAAUCAAGCCAUGCUGGGUAAACAAUGUUGGCAUCUUUUAACCGAGCCUAACUCUUUAUGUGCCCGAGUGUUAAAGGGCAGGUAUUAUCCUGAUGGGGAUUUUUGGACUGCGGAGUGCCCGAGGUCUUCAUCUUACACAUGGCGUAGUCUGAUGUAUGGGAAGCGAUUGAUGCAAAAAGGCCUGUAG